AGGCGGUUAGCUCAGCUGGUUAGAGCGUUGCGUUGACAUCGCAAAGGUCGCUGGUUCGAUUCCGGUACCGCCUACCA
rnacentral:tRNA from 1 species